CUGGACUUUCAGGAGCCAUGGACAGUAGCUUCUCACUAGUAAAAGCCAGAUACUAACAGUAAGAAACGAGAGAGAAAGAACAACUCAGUCAAUCAAUUAAGGAAGAAUCCAAGGGCAGAGGAGCAUCAAGGAUAGGGAGGAAGCAGCCUUCAAGACGUUAGCGGACCUAUGCUCAACCGCCAUGAUGUGAACGAACAACAAAUUCCCGGAACAAACACAUGUCUUUCUUUCGUCCCCGCAGAGGAGAAGAAGCUCCAUCUGAACGGUGUCUACUUCCUCGGCUGUCACCUGACCGAGCUGCUCAGGUCCUGGGAGACUCCAUCGGAGACCUUCUCACUCAUCCUCUGCAGCUUUUAGUUAGACUUGGGGUCAUCUGUCCUGUGCCUGAGCAUCAUCGCACGAAUACCCGAGUCCGAGUCUGAGCGCUGUCUCAUCUGUGCUAUUUACAGCCGAGGCUCCUCUGCGGUCUUCUGGAAAGCGUUGAGGCCACUCUGUAAAGCCUGGGCUUAGAGGGCCAGAGGACUGAGAACUCUAUCCCAGCACCAUCCUGCUUGUCUUCAGCCACGGCUUCUAGCCCACCUCAUUUUCUUCGAGGCCUGUCUUUAUCUUUAUGUCCAUCCGGCACCACCUGCUGUACCACCCUGCUAGGAUGAACGCGCUGACCCUGGAGCCGUACCCUGCCCUUCAGAAGUGCUGUGAGAAAAUGAGCACCAUCCUCCCCUGGAAAUUCACCCAAUGUUAUCCUGAGAUACGCUUUAUCACGGACGCGCUCAGGGUUAUGAGGCAGCUGACGACCGUCUGCUUCACUUCUGACCUUGGAUGUUACAAGUACCAUGUGUCUGGAGACUGAUUCGUUGUCUCUGUUGGCAGUAAAUAUGAAAAGAUUGCCUCUGGGUCCUGGAAAGCUAAGAUGCAGGACGUGUGACUUCAUUCAUCGUUCAGUGUGGGGGGAGGGGUGACACGGGGACUCGAAUCAGGGGCCAGAAAGUAGACCCAGGAACAGUAAGAGCAUGGGGACGGGGGCUUGUGGAAGCAGAAAUACAGUUCUGGGGGACUGGAGAGACAGUUCAGUAGUUAAGAGCACCUGCUGCUCUUAUAAAGGAGCCAAAUCUCCAGCACCCACAUGGUAGCUCACGGCCAUCUGUAACUCCAGUUUUAGGGGUUUUGAACUCUGGGGGCACACACAUACACACACACACACACGCAUAUGUUCAUAAACAGAAUACAACAGACAUAUGCAUAAUUUUAAAAUAUAUGCAUAUAUGCAUAAUGAAAUAUUUUAAAAAAAUAUGAUUCUGGAGAGCUAAAGCGAUGGCUCAGCAGUUAAGAGCAUAUACUCCUCUUGUAGAAAACCAGGGUUUGCUUCCCAGCAACCACAUUGAGCAGUUCACAACAACCUAUAACUCUGGCUUCGGGGAAUCAGAUGCCCUCUCUGGUACCUAUGCUCACAAGCACAUACCCACAUACUCUCAAGCAUACACACACAAACAUACAAUUAAAAUAGGAAAAUAAAUCCUUUUUGUUUGCUUUUUUUUUUUUUUUUUUUUGAGACAGAGUCUCACUGGUAGACAUGGCUGGCCUGGGAGCUUGCUUUGUAGACCUGGAUGGCCUUGAACUCAUAGUGAUCUGCCUGCCUCUGCCUGGAAAGUUCUGUGAUUAAAGGAAAGUGCCACCACUCCUUGCUGAAAAUAAAAUAUUUUUUAAAUGCA